rnacentral:lncRNA from 1 species
UCUUAGUAUAUCAAUUAUAUUUUUUACAUAUUUUAGUUGUUAAUUUAAAGUUUACUAUAUACACUUAAAACGAAUCUAUGUCCACUGUCAAACAACACUGUACUGCUUCCUAGGUAGGACAGGGACUUUAUGAGAGAAUAUUCUCAAUUCCUGCCUCUCACUACUUACAAUGUUGUUUUUAUUCCAUAAGCUAUAGUCACAUAAUACACUGUCGUGUACAACAUUUCUUAUAAGGCAGUUCUGCUGAAAAUAAACUGUUUGUUUUUGUUUGCCAGGGAAAGUCUGUAUUAGUCUGCUUUGGCUGCCAUACAAAAUAUCAUUGACUGAGUGGCUUAAUAAUAGGAAUCAACUUCUCAAAGUUAUGGAGGCUGGAAGUCAAAUAUCAAGGUGGUAGCAAAGUCACUGUCUGCUUGGAGUUCCCCUUUUGGUUUGCAGAUGGCUCCCUUCUCACCGUGUCCUCACAUGGCCUUUCCUAGUCCUGUUUAGGAGGAGGCAGAAAGACAGAAAGAAACAGGUUGAAGCUAAGCUUUCUGUUAUCUCUUCUUAUGAGAGCACUGAUUUUCUAAUGAAGUCCCUACCCUCAUGAACUCAUCUCAACCUAAUUACAUCCUAGUAGCCCCAUGUCUAAAUACCUUAACUUUGGGUGUUAGGGCUGCAACAUAUGAAUUUGAGGGAGGGCAGGGUGGGCCCAAUUCAGUCCAAAGCAAAAUCUUUAUUUCUUUUUUACUGUUGAAAGAUAAUUUCACCAGAUUCAGUAUUCCAGUUUCAUGGGGUUUUUCCUUCAAUGCUUUAAAUGUUUCACUCUAUUAUCUUCUUGCUUGCAUGGUUUCUGACAAGAAAUUCACUAUAAUUUUUAUUCUCAUUUCUUUAUAGGUAACAUUUUCAUACUCUGGUAUUUUUCAAGGUUUGCUUUUUGACUUUGUUUUUCUACAGAUUGAAUAUGCUAUUUACAUAUUUAGAUUUUUUUUCAAAAUUAUCCUGCUUCAUUUUCUCAGUGCUUCCUGGACUUGUUGUUUGGUCUUUGUCAUUAAUUUUGAAAAAAAACUCUUAACUGUUAUUACAUCGAAUAUUUUUUCUGCUUUAUUUUCUCUUUCUCUUUGGUUUCAGAUUAUGCAUAUAUUACACCUUUUGUAAUUGUCCCACACAUCUUGGAUGUUCUCUUUCAUUUUUUUUUACAACUAUACUUUUUCUUUGCAUUUAUGUUUGAGAAGUUUCCAUUGUCAUUUUCAAGCCUACUGAUUCUUUCCUUAGGCACAAUUCAAUGUGUUAUUCCAUCAAAAGCAGAUUUUCCUUUUUUUUUUUUUUUAGCAUGUUAAGAUUCUUUCUUAGAGUUGCACUCUUUCUGAAGAGUUGAUCUAUUCUUCCACGUUCAUCAAUUUUUCAUUUGAUUUCUUAGCAUAUUAUACAUAGAUACUUUAAAUUACCGCUGUGGUGAUUCCAAAAUUUGUGUCAUAUCUGAGUCUGGUUCUGUUGGUUGCUCUAACACUCCAGAGGUGUUUUGUUGCUGGCAUUUUCUGUUGUGUAUGUGUGUGUUUGCCUUUUAGCAUGCCUUGUAAUUUUUGGUUCAAAGUCAGACAUGAUGUAUCUGAUAACAGAAACUAAGAAAAAUGGGUCUUUGUUGUGAGAGAUUAUGGAGAUCUUCCUAGAAGGUAACUUGUGAUUAUAGUUUUCUAGAGCUGUUGCUGCCUGAGACAUUAAUACUCUCAGGUGUUGUUUUUUGUUCCCCCUGUGGUCUUUAGGUUUUACUAGAAACAAAACUUCCUGAUGUAUAGUCUGACACUUGCAAUUCUUUCAGCUGUAAUCCUCUGUUUUAUACAGUAGCAUUAUUGGUAUUGUGGUGAAAGGUGAGGAAAAAGAAAAUGCUCUAUAAUCCUUUUAUUAGGUCCAGAUAUUUUCAGUGGGUCUGUGUGUCUGAGCCGUUACCUUCAUAAAUGCUUUUUUGAUCUCCUUGUCUGAAACUCAGUUGAUACAGGAAGUUGAUCUGGGAAGGGUAGAGCGGCCUCAACUUAGGUACUUCCUUUUUCCCACAAUAGUUAGGCUUGGGUAUUUUCCCUUGAGGGCAGUUGGAGAACACAAAGUUCGGUGUGUAUUUCAAAAUUGCCAUCUUUUCUCUCUCUGCAUUGGAAGCAUAAUGGGAUUUCUUCACCAAUCUUCAGCACAAAAAUCUGGUGGGGUUCCUGGAGAUAAUAAAGGCUACUAUAAGCUUUAUAGAUUCAACAUGCUUACUCUCAGCAUCACCCAGGAUGAUCUUGUACAGUACAAAUCAGAAAAUGGGAUAUUAAGGCUCAACACCAUGUGGAAGCUGCCAAGGCAUGGGGCUUGCAUGCUCUGAAGCCACACCCGAGCUGUUCUUGACCCCUUUUAGUCAUGGCAGGAGUGACUGGGACACUGGGCACCAAUUCCUAGACUGCACAAAGAAGAGGGACCCUGAGACGGGCCCACAAACCAUUUUGUUUUUCCUAGCCCUUUGGGUCUGUGGUGGGAGGGGCUGCUACAAGAA